CCUACGGGAGGCAGCAGUGGGGGAUAUUGCACAAUGGGGGAAACCCUGAUGCAGCGACGCCGCGUGAGUGAAGAAGUAUUUCGGUAUGUAAAGCUCUAUCAGCAGGGAAGAAAAUGACAGUACCUGACCAAGAAGCCGCGGCUAACUACGUGCCAGCAGCCGCGGUCAUACGUCGGGGGCAAGCGUUAUACGGAUUUACUGGGUGUAAAGGGGGCGUAGACGGGUAUGUAAGUCUGGAGUGAAAGCCCGGGGCCUAACCCCGGGACUGCGUUGGAAACUGUGUAACUGGAGUUCAGGAGGGGCAGGCGGAAUACCGGGUGUAGCGGUGAAAUGCGUAGAUAUUAGGAGGAACACCAGCGGCGAAGGCGGCCUGCUGGACGGAAACUGACGCUGAGGCUCGAAAGCAUGGGGAGCAAACAGGAUUAGAUACCCGAGUAGUC
rnacentral:rRNA from 1 species